CUUCCAUCUUGUCUCCCGCCUCUUCAAUGUGUUCCGAGAUAGAAGAUUAAAGCUGGACUUUAUUCUUCAAGAUUGUGCCACGCCAUGACCUGUAGUCCUGGGUCCUGAAGUAAUAUUAGAAACAUGAAAUUGUGAAUUUGUAUCUACUCAUAUAUAAAGACCCACUAAAUUACUCAAUCAGUAUUUAUA